GAGGAAGAGAUAGAGAGAGGUGAAAAAGAAAAGGAGCGGGACAGGGAAAGGAGUGAGUAUGCCAGAGAGAGAGAGCUAAAGACAUAGAGAGGUAAAGAGAGAGAGAGGUAAAGAGUGAGAGCUAAAGAGAGAGAGGUAAAGAGAGGGAGAGGUAAAGAGAGAGAGAGGUAAAGAUAGAGAGAGGUAAAGAGAGAGAGAGAGCUAAAGAGAGGGAGAGGUAAAGAGAGAGAUAAAGAGAGGGAGAGGUAAAGAGAGAGCUAAAGAGAGGGAGAGGUAAAGAGAGAGAUAGGUAAAGAGAGGGAGAGGUAAAGAGAGAGAUAAAGAGAGGGAGAGGUAAAGAGAGGGAGAGGUGAAGAGAGAGCUAAAGAGAGGGAGAGGUAAAGAGAGAGAUAGGUAAAGAGAGAGCUAAAGAGAGAGUUAAAGAGAAGGAGAGGUAAAGAGAGAAAUAAAGAGAGGGAGAGGUAAAGAGAGAGAUAAAGAGAAGGAGAAGAGAGAAAGUCAGAGAGCGACCCUCUCUCUCUCUCCACCCCGCUGAACUCAGUCGUAUAAUGAGCUCUCUCUCCCUCUCCCAGCUCUGAGGCUCGUUUAGAAUUCCUCUGAGCAGGUGUCUCCGUCUCUCUCUCUAUCCCUCUCUCUUGUCCGCCACUGCCGUGAUGAGGCGUAGCCACUGAACCGCAAUGAGGGAAAAGUGAGGGAUGAACAUCCCCCCCACGCUGCAGGCAAUACUAAAGUGAUUGUCAACAAACCAAGCAGAGGAAGAGGAGAGGAAGAGGGAAAGGAGAAGAAAAGACAACAUUACAUGGUUUCCUGCGAACGGUUAUUUGACGUCGGAGAGCGACGGCACCACAGCAGGACAGACCUGCCCAAGGCGGGUACGAGAGACAGGAGAGAAGGACAUGGUUUAUUUUGGGAAGGAAGUCACUGGUGUAGUGUAGUUAAUGCUCCAUCUAUGUGUGUGAGUUGGUGAGUGGGUGAGUGUGAUUGGGUAAGUGUGUGUGUGUCAGAGUGAGUGUCUGUGUCUGCCUCUAUGUGUGGCAGUAUGUGUGUAACUCAGAUGUCCUGAGUUUCAAUUACUAGACUACUUUUUUUUUUUUUUUUUGCCCUUGAAAUAGCUUUGUAGGCCUUCUCUGACCAAAGUGAGUGCUGUCAAAUAGCUUUUACUUUGCUCCCCCACAAAGCUGUGAAAAUACAUUUUCUCUUCCUCCACUCCACCUCCUACCACCUCUAAAAUCAUCGUACAGGUGAUAGUUGUUCCACCAGCUGAUAUUUCCUCCAACCUGCAGAGCUUCCAUUCUGUUACAUUUUGUAUUGUUUUCUCUUGGUCUCUGAGAUAUCUAGAUGGCCUACUAGCUUGUGUGUCCUGGAAGAGGCAGAUAUAAAAUACUGGGAUGCCUCUUGAGAAAGCGUUAGCGCUUUUGGAGAUAUGGAUACACCCAGGGGGAACAACAAGACAACAUCGCUGGACGGCACUGAAAGAGCUCCACAUCAAAGCGGGCC
ensembl:lncRNA